UUACGCGACACCAGAGAGGCCCGAUUGUCGCUACAGUCGAUCGCGUGACGCCGAAACACAUUCGAGGUUAUCUUCUGUCAACAGCAUCUUCAAAAUUAUAAUUUUAAGUGCAGCAGGUAUGGGAGUCUAUGGACGACGGGGGUCGAGUAUUUCCAACUGGCCGAGUUCGAUGGUGUCGACAGGAUAACCAGUGGCCGUUGGCGAUGCAUUGCUCGUGGAAAUCCCCUAACGAACCGCAUUUACAUCUGAAAGACUCCUGGCCCCGGAUCCACGCUAAACUAGAGUCUGGUAUGCAGCCUUUGGGAGCCAUCCAGAUGCUCACGGUUCGAUUGAAAUCUUUGAUCGAGACGCGUGGCUUAUUUGUAAUUUUGCCUCGAUAUUUCCAUCACCAGUCGAAUUAAACGAAUAGCAGAACAGACUGAUUAAUAGAGUUGACUGUUAAUUAUUUCCAGUUUAAGGCAAUUUUAUAUAUGGACUUAAAAGGAAAAUCAUUUAAUAGGGUAUAAGUUUGUGUAUAACUUUCGGUUUUCAUUGAAGUCAAAAUUUCUCAAGGUUCUCGAGUAUACUAUACGAUAAAGAACAUGUAUUUCUACAAUGUUUCCGUAAUAAACUUGUAUUUCUCGCCAACAGUUGCGCAUUGUGUUAUAUAAGCAACAUAUUUGAGAUAAUGUUGUAUUUUCAGACAUUUUCCAA